rnacentral:rRNA from 1 species
UACGGAGGAUCCAAGCGUUAUCCGGAAUUACUGGGCGUAAAGAGUUGCGUAGGUGGCAUAGUAAGUAGGUAGUGAAAUCGUGUGGCUCAACCAUACUCACAUUAUCUAAACUGCUAAGCUAGAGUAUAUGAGAGGUAGUUGGAAUUCCUUGUGUAGGAGUGGAAUCCGUAGAUAUAAGGAGGAACACCGAUGGCGUAGGCAGACUACUGGCAUAUUACUGACACUAAGGCACGAAAGCGUGGGGAGCGAACAGG